rnacentral:rRNA from 1 species
CGAUGCAACGCGAAGAACCUUACUACCCUUGACAUGUCCGGAACUUGCCAGAGAUGGCUUGGUGCCCGAAAGGGAAUCGGAACACAGGUGCUGCAUGGCUGUCGUCAGCUCGUGUCGUGAGAUGUUGGGUUAAGUCCCGCAACGAGCGCAACCCUUAUCAUUAGUUGCUACGCAAGGGCACUCUAAUGAGACUGCCGGUGACAAACCGGAGGAAGGUGGGGAUGACGUCAAGUCCUCAUGGCCCUUAUGGGUAGGGCUUCACACGUCAUACAAUGGUCGGUACAGAGGGUUGCCAAGCCGCGAGGCGGAGCCAAUCCCACAAAGCCGAUCGUAGUCCGGAUUGUUCUCUGCAACUCGAGAGCAUGAAGUCGGAAUCGCUAGUAAUCGCAGGUCAGCAUACUGCGGUGAAUACGUUCCCGGGUCUU